UACGAAGGGGGCUAGCGUUGCUCGGAAUGACUGGGCGUAAAGGGCGCGUAGGCGGUUUGUACAGUCAGGUGUGAAAUUCCCGGGCUCAACCUGGGGGCUGCACUUGAUACGUAUGGACUGGAGUGGGGAAGAGGGUCGUGGAAUUCCCAGUGUAGAGGUGAAAUUCGUAGAUAUUGGGAAGAACACCGGUGGCGAAGGCGGCGACCUGGUCCUUGACUGACGCUGAGGCGCGAAAGUGUGGGGAGCGAACAGG
rnacentral:rRNA from 1 species